rnacentral:rRNA from 1 species
UAUUUUAAAGAGAGUUUGAUCCUGGCUCAGGACGAACGCUGGCGGCGUGCCUAAUACAUGCAAGUCGAACGAACGGAGGAAGAGCUUGCUCUUCCAAAGUUAGUGGCGGACGGGUGAGUAACACGUGGGCAACCUGCCUGUAAGUUGGGGAUAACUCCGGGAAACCGGGGCUAAUACCGAAUGAUAGAGUGUGGCGCAUGCCACGCUUUUGAAAGAUGGUUUCGGCUAUCGCUUACAGAUGGGCCCGCGGUGCAUUAGCUAGUUGGUAGGGUAAUGGCCUACCAAGGCAACGAUGCAUAGCCGACCUGAGAGGG